rnacentral:lncRNA from 1 species
GCUAAACUCGUUUGAAGGCGCCAACCAUUAUUCCCCUUACCUGGAACAGUGCAACAUUAGAGCAAACUAUCAAAAUCAGUUAAUAAAAGUCUUAGCUAAUAAGAUGGCAACAAAUAGAAAUAAAUCUAGCAAAAAUACAGCGUGGACGUGGACUGGUACUUAUACAUCCAAACAACAAAAGCAUUUGUACAGAUCUGAGAGUUACUCAGUAC